rnacentral:rRNA from 1 species
GACGAACGCUGGCGGCGUGCUUAACACAUGCAAGUCGAACGGAAAGGCCCUGCUUUUGUGGGGUGCUCGAGUGGCGAACGGGUGAGUAACACGUGAGUAACCUGCCCUUGACUUUGGGAUAACUUCAGGAAACUGGGGCUAAUACCGGAUAGGAGCUCCUGCUGCAUGGUGGGGGUUGGAAAGUUUCGGCGGUUGGGGAUGGACUCGCGGCUUAUCAGCUUGUUGGUGGGGUAGUGGCUUACCAAGGCUUUGACGGGUAGCCGGCCUGGGAGGGUGACCGGCCACAAUGGGACUGAGAUACGGCGCAGACUGCUACGUGAGGCAGCAGUGGGGAAUAUUGCACAAUGGGCGGAAGCCUGAUGCAGCAACGCCGCGUGCGGGAUGACGGCCUUCGGGUUGUAAACCGCUUUCGCCUGUGACGAAGCGUGAGUGACGGUAAUGGGUAAAGAAGCACCGGCUAACUACGUG